GGUGGCUCAGUGGUAGAGUGCUUGCCUUUUAUGCAGGAAGCCCUGAGUUUGAUUCCUCAGCACCA
rfam:Dipodomys ordii contig_45572, whole genome shotgun sequence.